AUUCCGGUCCCUCAGAACGGUCAGGAGGGAAGAAGGUGGCAAGAUGGUGUUGGAAAGCACUAUGGUGUGUGUGGACAACAGUGAGUAUACGUGGAAUGGGGACUUCUUACCCACCUGGCUGCAGGACCAGCAAGAUGCUGUCAACAUAGUUUGUCAUUCAAAGACCUGCAGCAUGGGCCAGAGAACAACAUGGGCCUUAUCACACUGGCUAAUGACUGUGAAGUGCUGACCACACUCACCCCAGACACUGGUCGUAUCCCGUCCAAGCUACACACUGUCCAACCCAAGGGCAAGAUCACCUUCUGCACUGGCAUCCACGUGGCCCAUCUGGCUCUGAAGCACCGUCAGGGCAAGAAUCACAAGAUGCGCAUCAUUGCCUUUGUGGGAAGACCAGUGAAGGACAAUAAGAAGGAUCUGGUAAAACUGGCUAAAUGACUCAAGAAGGAGAAAGUAAAUGUUAACAUUAUCAAUUUUGGGGAAGAGGAGGUGAACACAGAAAAGCUGACAGCCUUUGUAAACAUGCUGAAUGGCAAAAAUGGAACCAGUUAUCAUCUGGUGACAGUACCUCCUGGGCCCAGCUUGGCCGAUGCUAGCAUCAGUUCUCCGAUUUUGCCUGGUGAAGGUAGUGCCAUGCUGGGUCUUGGUGCCAGUGACUUUGAAUUUGCAGUAGAUCCCAGUGCUGAUCCUGAGCUGGCCUUGGCCCUUCAUGUAUCUAUGGAAGAGCAGUGGCAGCGGCAGGAGGAGGAGGCCUGGCGGGCAGCUGCAGCUUCUGCUGCUAAGGCUGGGACUGCUACGACUGGGACUGAAGACUCAGACGAUGCCCUGCUGAAGAUGACCAUCAGCCAUCAAGAGUUUGGCCACACUGGGCUCCCUGACCUAAGCAGUAUGACUGAGGAAGAGCAGAAGGGAGCAGAGUUUGGCCAGGCAGAAUCAGCAGACAUUGAUGCCAGCUCAGCCAUGGACACAUCUGAGCCAGCCAAGGAGGAGGAUGAUUACGAUGUGACACAGGAGCCCAAGUUCCUUCAGAGUGUCCUAGAGAACCUCCCAGGUGUGGAUCCCAACAAUGAAGCCAUUCGAAAUGCUAUGGGCUUCCUGGCCUACCAGGCCACCAAGGACAGCAAGAAGGACAAGAAGGAGGAAGACAAGAAGUGAGACUGGAGGGAAAGGGCAGCUGAGCCCGCUUAGGGGACUGCAUGGGAGGCACAGAAUACAAAGUUAGAUGAAUGUUACCUGUAACCAUUACAGCCUAAAUAAAGCUUGGCAAGUAUU